rnacentral:lncRNA from 1 species
AAAUUGUAAUUCUGAAACAUACAUGAAAUUCACAAAUAGAGAGAAGAUACAUUAAUUCACAUACAUAAUUACUAUUUCAUUCACAAACAGAGAGAAGAUACAUUAAAUUCCCAGAUAACCCAACUAUUAUUACAUAACUUGCUAUAUAAGAAUGUCUUGGAGCUUCUUUGAACAUCUUUCGUCUUGAAUUUACUCAAAAUAUCUGCCAACAAGAAAACAGAACAGCAAGGAUAGGGUGAAUAACAACAACAAUAGGUGAUGGGGUGCUAUUCCAUCUAAACAAGAGACUGAACCCAACAAGCUAGAUUCAUUCAGCAUCAUCAACAAUUCAGUAAAGUACUGCAAUUUAGAACUAAUGAGAAAAAACAACUACACGACUUCAUAACUGAACAUAUUCAAGUAAAAAUUGUACAAGUUACAUUCCAGUAAACAAACUGUACAAGUUGACGAUUCCCUGCUGCAUAUACAUAUCACUUGUGUCAUGUUUGGGGGUUCAGAAUGUACACAACAUGUUUAUGGUAGAUGAACUGCAGCUGCUAGGAAUAGUAAAGUAAAGAUGUACUGCCACUAAUCAGCAAAAACAUAACAUUUUCUCAGAGUUAAUGAUAGCACAUGGAUAAAGAUGGAAACAAAAAAUAUUUCUAAUCUUGGAACCCAACAUAGCAAAUCAAAACGAGAGAGGGGCAGAGGUGGUGUGGAGGAGACAGGACCUUGAGCUGCUGCUCCUCUUCAUGGUUGUGUGUCACCCUCCAUCUCCUAACUAUGAUCAUCAACAUCUACUACUAACAACUCCCUGUGCAAUCCUACAUUGCCGUAAAAAUUCCUC